GCCUAGUUUGCUUGGUGGGUAGAGCAUUUGCCUUUUAAGCACUAGGCCAUGGGUUAGAUUCCCGCCCGGGGCG
rnacentral:tRNA from 1 species